rnacentral:rRNA from 1 species
GACGAACGCUGGCGGCGUGCUUAACACAUGCAAGUCGAACGAAGUGGCGAACGGGUGAGUAACGCGUAAUCAACCUGCCCUUCAGAGGGGGACACCAGUUGGAAACGACUGCUAAUACCGCAUACUGAAGGAGGGGAUUGCGUCUGAUUAGCUCGGUGGAGGGGUAACGGCCCACCAAGGCGAUGAUAAGUAGCCGGGCUGAGAGGAUGAACGGCCAACUUGGGACUGGGACACGGCCCAGACUCCUACGGGAGGCAGCAGUGGGGAAUCUUCCGCAAGGGACGAAAGUCUGACGGAGCAACGCCGCGUGGGUGAUGACGGCCUUCGGGUUGGAAAGCUCUGUUAAGCGGGACGCGGUACCGGAAGAGAAAGCCACGGCUAACUCCGUGCCAGCCGCCGCGGUAAUAC